rnacentral:rRNA from 1 species
GCAAGUCGAACGGGAUUUGAGUAGCAAUACUUAAUGAGAGUGGCGCACGGGUGCGUAACGCGUAUGCAACCUACCUUUAACAGGGGGAUAGCUCCGAGAAAUCGGGAUUAAUACCCCAUAGUAUUAUUGAUUGGCAUCGAUUAAUAAUUAAAGCUCCGGCGGUUAAAGAUGGGCAUGCGUGCCAUUAGCUAGUUGGUGAGGUAAGGGCUCACCAAGGCGAUGAUGGCUAGGGGUUCUGAGAGGAUUAUCCCCCACACUGGUACUGAGACACGGACCAGACUCCUACGGGAGGCAGCAGUAAGGAAUAUUGGGCAAUGGACGCAAGUCUGACCCAGCCAUGCCGCGUGCAGGAAGACGGCCCUAUGGGUUGUAAACUGCUUUUAUCAGGGAAUAAACCCCCGGAUGUAUCCGGGGCUGAAUGUACCUGAAGAAUAAGCAUCGGCUAACUCCGUGCCAGCAGCCGCGGUAAUACGGAGGAUGCAAGCGUUAUCCGGAUUCAUUGGGUUUAAAGGGUGCGCAGGCGGAUUAUUAAGUCAGUGGUGAAAUCCUACGGCUCAACUGUAGAACUGCCAUUGAUACUGAUAAUCUUGAGUAUAUUUGAAGUGGGCGGAAUGUAGCAUGUAGCGGUGAAAUGCAUAGAUAUGCUACAGAACACCAAUUGCGAAGGCAGCUCACUAAACUAUAACUUACGCUCAUGCACGAAAGCGUGGGGAUCAAACAGGAUUAGAUACCCUGGUAGUCCACGCUGUAAACGAUGAUUACUCGUUGUUGGCGAUACACAGUCAGCGACCAAGCGAAAGUGAUAAGUAAUCCACCUGGGGAGUACGAUCGCAAGAUUACAACUCAAUGAAUUGACGGAA